rnacentral:rRNA from 1 species
GACGUAGGGCGCAAGCGUUGUCCGGAUUUAUUGGGCGUAAAGAGCUCGUAGGCGGCUUGUCGCGUCGACUGUGAAAACCUGCGGCUCAACCGUAUGGUCUGCAGUCGAUACGGGCAGGCUAGAGUUCGGUAGGGGAGACUGGAAUUCCUGGUGUAGCGGUGAAAUGCGCAGAUAUCAGGAGGAACACCGGUGGCGAAGGCGGAUCUCUGGGCCUUGCCUGACGCUGAGGCGCGAAAGCUAGGGGAGCGAACAGG